UUGANNUGGGCGCAGCCUGAUCCAGCAAUGCCGCGUGAGUGAAGAAGGCCUUCGGGUUGUAAAGCUCUUUUGUCAGGGAAGAAACGGUUUCUCCUAAUACGGGGAACUAAUGACGGUACCUGAAGAAUAAGCACCGGCUAACUACGUGCCAGCAGCCGCGGUAAUACGUAGGGUGCAAGCGUUAAUCGGAAUUACUGGGCGUAAAGCGUGCGCAGGCGGUUUUGUAAGUCUGUCGUGAAAUCCCCGGGCUCAACCUGGGAAUUGCGAUGGAGACUGCAAGGCUAGAAUCUGGCAGAGGGGGGUAGAAUUCCACGUGUAGCAGUGAAAUGCGUAGAGAUGUGGAGGAACACCGAUGGCGAAGGCAGCCCCCUGGGUCAAGAUUGACGCUCAUGCACGAAAGCGUGGGGAGCAAACAGGAUUAGAUACCCUGGUAGUCCACGCCCUAAACGAUGUCUACUAGUUGUCGGGUUUUAAUUAACUUGGUAACGCAGCUAACGCGUGAAGUAGACCGCCUGGGGAGUACGGUCGCAAGAUUAAAACUCAAAGAAAUUGACGGA
rnacentral:rRNA from 1 species